rnacentral:rRNA from 1 species
UACGUAGGGUGCAAGCGUUGUCCGGAAUUAUUGGGCGUAAAGAGCUCGUAGGCGGUUUGUUGCGUCGGCUGUGAAAACCUGAGGCUCAACCUCAGGCCUGCAGUCGAUACGAGCAGACUAGAGUGUUGCAGGGGAGACUGGAAUUCCUGGUGUAGCGGUGAAAUGCGCAGAUAUCAGGAGGAACACCUGAGGUGAAGACGGGUUGCUGGGCUGACACUGACGCUGAGACGCGAAAGCCAGGGGAGCGAACGGG